UACGUAGGGUGCAGGCGUUAAUCGGAAUUACUGGGCGUAAAGGGCGCGUAGGCGGCUUGGUCAGUCCCGUGUGAAAUCCCUCGGCUCAACUGAGGAACUGCACGGGAAACUGCCUGGCUUGAGUUCGGGAGAGGGAAGCGGAAUUCCGGGUGUAGCGGUGAAAUGCGUAGAUAUCCGGAGGAACACCGGUGGCGAAGGCGGCUUCCUGGACCGACACUGACGCUGAGGCGCGAAAGCUAGGGGAGCAAACGGG
rnacentral:rRNA from 1 species